rnacentral:rRNA from 1 species
GACGAACGCUGGCGGCGUGCCUAAUACAUGCAAGUAGAACGCUGAAGGAGGAGCUUGCUUCUCCGGAUGAGUUGCGAACGGGUGAGUAACGCGUAGGUAACCUGCCUGGUAGCGGGGGAUAACUAUUGGAAACGAUAGCUAAUACCGCAUAAGAGUAGAUGUCGCAUGACAUUUGCUUAAAAGGUGCAACUGCACCACUACCAGAUGGACCUGCGUUGUAUUAGCUAGUUGGUGAGGUAACGGCUCACCAAGGCAACGAUACAUAGCCGACCUGAGAGGGGGAUCGGCCACACUGGGACUGAGACACGGCCCAGACUCCUACGGGAGGCAGCAGUAGGGAAUCUUCGGCAAUGGACGGAAGUCUGACCGAGCAACGCCGCGUGAGUGAAGAAGGUUUUCGGAUCGUAAAGCUCUGUUGUAAGAGAAGAACGAGUGUGAGAGUGGAAAGUUCACACUGUGACGGUAUCUGACCAGAAAGGGACGGCUAACUACGUG